rnacentral:lncRNA from 1 species
UUCUCUUUCCUUCUUUCUUCCUUUCUCUUUUCUUUCUCUUUCCCUUUUUCUUUCCUUCCUUCAUCUUUCCUUUUUUCUUUCCUUCCUUUCUCUUUCCUUUUUUCUUUCCUUCCUUCCUUUCUCUUUCCUUUUUUCUUUCUUUCCUUCCUUCCUUUCUCUUUCCUUUUUUCUUUCUUUCUCCUUCCUUCCUUUCUCUUUCCUUUUUUCUUUCCUUCCUUCCUUCCUUUAUCUUUCCUUUUUUCUUUCUUUCUUUCCUUCCUUUUCUCUUUCCUUCUUUCCUUUUUUCUUUCUCUUUCCCUUUUUCUUUCCUUCUUUCCUUCCUUCCUUUCUCUUUCUUUCCUUCCUUCCUUUCUUUCUCUUUCCUUUUUUCUUUCUUUCUCUUUCCUUUUUUCCUUCCUUCCUUUAUCUUUCCUUUUUUCUUUCUUUCUUUCCUUUUCUCUUUCCUUCUUUCCUUUUUCUUUCUCUUUCCUUCUUUCUUCCUUUCUCUUUUCUUUCUCUUUUUCUUUCCUUCCUUCAUCUUUCCUUUUUUCUUUCCUUCCUUUUCUCUUUCCUUUUCUUUCUCUUUCCUUUUUCUUUCUCUUUCCCUUUUUCUUUCCUUCCUUCCUUUCUCUUUCCUUUUUUCUUUCUUUCUCUUUCCUUUUUUUCCUUCCUUCCUUUAUCUUUCCUUUUUUUUCUUUCUUUCCUUUUCUCUUUCCUUCUUUCCUUUUUCUUUCUCUUUCCUUCUUUCUUCCUUUCUCUUUUCUUUCUCUUUCCCUUUUUCUUUCCUUCCUUCAUCUUUCCUUUUUUCUUUCCUUCCUUUUCUCUUUCCUUCUUUCCUUUUCUUUCUCUUUCCUUUUUUCUUUCUCUUUCCCUUUUUCUUUCCUUCCUUCCUUUCUCUUUCCUUUUUUCUUUCUUUCUCUUUCCUUUUUUCCUUCCUUCCUUUAUCUUUCCUUUUUUCUUUCUUUCUUUCCUUUUCUCUUUCCUUCUUUCCUUUUUCUCUCUCUUUCCUUCUUUCUUCCUUUCUCUUUUCUUUCUCUUUCCCUUUUUCUUUCCUUUUUUCUUUCCUUCCUUUUCUCUUUCCUUCUUUCCUUUUUCUUUCUCUUUCCUUUUCUUUCCUUCCUUCCUUUCUCUUUCCUUUUUCUUUCUCUUUCCCUUUUUCUUUCCUUCCUUCCUUUCUCUUUCCUUUUUUCUUUCUCUUUCCCUUUUUCUUUUCUUCCUUCCAUUCUCUUUCCUUCCAUCAUUUUUCUUUCCUUCCUCUUUCUUAACAUCCAUCUAAGCAGGACUCCUCCUUUUCCGGAACCAUAG